UUCUCACACCAAAGAUCAUUUUUUGGAAAUUUUUGGAUGCCAAAAAUUUGGGUUUGGCAUGGAGAUAUCGGCACCCCUCUUCUUGACCUAAACCCUACUUCCUUUCCUAUACAAAGGGGUCUCCAAUUAUUGACACCCCAUCUUUGUUUCUUUGCUGGUUUUUAAUUUUUCAAAGCUCCUUCUCUUCUCUUCUCUUCCUCCUCCAGAUCC
rnacentral:lncRNA from 1 species